rnacentral:hammerhead_ribozyme from 1 species
AUCUAGCUGACGAAUCUCACAUAGGACAAAACGUGCGUCCUGGAU